rnacentral:tRNA from 1 species
CUUUUUAGAGCAUGAUUUAUGCUUUUCGCUUACAAUGAAAUGAUCCUAAAAUUUUUAGGUAAAAAGA